rnacentral:rRNA from 1 species
GGCCUGUUGAAUAUGAUUUCAGGUCAGACCUGCCCACUGAGUAAUUAAAUGGCCGCGGUAUUUUGACUGUGCAAAGGUAGCAUAAUCACUAGUUUUUUAAUUGAGAGCUUGUAUGAAAGGUUUGAUGAGGAAAGUUCUGUCUCUGUAAAAUUUUAUUAGAAUUUUAUUUUUAAGUUAAAAAGCUUAAAUUUUAAUAGAAGACGAGAAGACCCUAUAGAGUUUUAUAUUAAAAUGAAAUAGAAAAAUUAAAAGAAUCAAAAAUUUUGGUUUUAUUUUUGUAUUUUGUUGGGGUGAUAAGAAAAAUGGGUAAACUUUUUUUUGUAUAUAAACAUUGAUUUGUGAAUAAAUGAUCCCAAGUUUAGGAUUAUAAGAGUAAAUUACCUUAGGGAUAACAGCGUAAUUUUUUUUAGAGUUCUUAUCGACAAAAAAGAUUGCGACCUCGAUGUUGGAUUAAAAUUUACUAUUGGUGUAGAAGCUAAUAUGUUAGGUCUGUUCGACCUUUAAAAUUUUACAUGAUCUGAGUUUAAACCGGUGUGAG